rnacentral:lncRNA from 1 species
GAAUCCAAAUCCGAUGGGCAAUCAGGCAUCAGAAUUCAUCGAUAUGUAACCCUGAUCGAAGAGUCCCAAACCAGUGGGACUCUUGACCCUGGUACCCAAAAUGUGUGGGACUCAUGAUCAGAGAAUCCUGAUUCUCGAUCACAAAGUCUCAGACACAUAAGACUCAUAGUCCACGAGCAUUAAGACUCUUCAUCAGCCAUCAGAUCAGAUAGGAACCUCUAAUAUGUGUGACCCCGCA